rnacentral:rRNA from 1 species
AGAGUUUGAUCCUGGCUCAGAUUGAACGCUGGCGGCAUGCUUAAUACAUGCAAGUCGAACGGUAACAGGUUCUUCGGAAUGCUGACGAGCGGCGGACGGGUGAGUAACGCGUAGGAAUUUGCCCAGUAGUGGGGGACAACAUGUGGAAACGCAUGCUAAUACCGCAUACGCCCUAUGGGGGAAAGCAGGGGAUCUUCGGACCUUGCGCUAUUGGAGAAGCCUGCGUCGGAUUAGCUAGUUGGUAGGGUAAAGGCCUACCAAGGCGACGAUCCGUAGCUGGUCUGAGAGGAUGAUCAGCCACACUGGAACUGAGACACGGUCCAGACUCCUACGGGAGGCAGCAGUGGGGAAUAUUGCGCAAUGGGGGAAACCCUGACGCAGCAAUGCCGCGUGAGUGAGGAAGGCCUUCGGGUUGUAAAGCACUUUCAAUUGGGAAGAAAAGGUCAGGGCUAAUACCCCUGGUUCUUGACGUUACCUUUAGAAGAAGCACCGGCUAACUCCGUGCCAGCAGCCGCGGUAAUACGGAGGGUGCAAGCGUUAAUCGGAAUUACUGGGCGUAAAGCGCGCGUAGGCGGUUUGUUAAGUCAGAUGUGAAAGCCCCGGGCUCAACCUGGGAACUGCAUUUGAUACUGGCGAGCUAGAGUGGGGUAGAGGGAAGCGGAAUUUCAGGUGUAGCGGUGAAAUGCGUAGAUAUCCUGAGGAACACCAGUGGCGAAGGCGACUUCCUGGACCAACACUGACGCUGAGGUACGAAAGCGUGGGUAGCAAACAGGAUUAGAUACCCUGGUAGUCCACGCCGUAAACGAUGUCAACUAGUUGUUGGGCGUAUUAAAAGGUUUAGUAACGUAGCUAACGCGAUAACUUGACCGCCUGGGGAGUACGGCCGCAAGGUUAAAACUCAAAGGAAUUCACGGGGGCCCGCACAAGCGGUGGAGCAUGUGGUUUAAUUCGAUGCAACGCGAAGAACCUUACCAGCCCUUGACAUCCUCGGAACUUGGCAGAGAUGCCUUUGUGCCUUCGGGAAUCGAGUGACAGGUGCUGCAUGGCUGUCGUCAGCUCGCGUCGUGAGAUGUUGGGUUAAGUCCCGCAACGAGCGCAACCCUUGUCCCUAGUUGCCAGCACUUCGGGUGGGAACUCUAGGGAGACUGCCGGUGAUAAACCGGAGGAAGGUGGGGAUGACGUCAAGUCAUCAUGGCCCUUAUGGGCUGGGCUUCACACGUGCUACAAUGGCCGGCACAGAGAGUUGCGACCCUGCGAAGGUGAGCCAAUCUCAGAAAACCGGUCGUAGUCCGGAUUGCAGUCUGCAACUCGACUGCAUGAAGUCGGAAUCGCUAGUAAUCGCGAAUCAGAAUGUCGCGGUGAAUACGUUCCCGGGCCUUGUACACACCGCCCGUCACACCAUGGGAGUGGGCUGCAAAAGAAGUGGGUAGUCUAACCUUCGGGAGGACGCUCACCACUUUGUGGUUCAUGACUGGGGUGAAGUCGUAACAAGGUAGCCGUAGGGGAACCUGCGGCUGGAUCACCUCCUU